AACUUAGUGGCUGAUUUUAAAGUGUUGAACUUUUAAUUCAAUUAUGGUUUUCGUAAACCCUAAGUUA
rnacentral:tRNA from 1 species